GACGAACGCUGGCGGCGUGCUUAACACAUGCAAGUCGAACGGAAAGGCCCUGCUUUUGUGGGGUGCUCGAGUGGCGAACGGGUGAGUAACACGUGAGUAACCUGCCCUUGACUUUGGGAUAACUUCAGGAAACUGGGGCUAAUACCGGAUAGGAGCUCCUGCUGCAUGGUGGGGGUUGGAAAGUUUCGGCGGUUGGGGAUGGGCUCGCGGCUUAUCAGCUUGUUGGUGGGGUAGUGGCUUACCAAGGCUUUGACGGGUAGCCGGCCUGAGAGGGUGACCGGCCACAUGGGGACUGAGAUACGGCCCAGACGCCUACGGGAGGCAGCAGUGGGGAAUAUUGCACAAUGGGCGGAAGCCUGAUGCAGCAACGCCGCGUGCGGGAUGACGGCCUUCGGGUUGUAAACCGCUUUCGCCUGUGACGAAGCGUGAGUGACGGUAAUGGGUAAAGAAGCACCGGCUAACUACGUG
rnacentral:rRNA from 1 species